GUUUCAAACAACAACCCCAAGGAUUAUGCCAGUAAAAAUAAAUGUGACUAUGAAUUAAGAAAGCAGCUUUGUGAUCAUCCACUACUACAGAGCAGAGGCCAGGCUAUGGUUAGUCCAAUGUUAUUUCCCUUUGGCGACUCUAUCAAAAGUGUGGCCAAGUUGCUAGGAGUCCAGAUUUCACGCACAAAAGCCCUCUUUUGUGUUUGGCCAUGUAAUAUAGAAAUACACGUAUUUCUAUGGAACUAUGUGAUGCUGUGCUUUGGGGCCAACACUAUUACGGAAUGAAAUGCUUCCACACCCUGGGCUCCCUUUUUGGAGAAAAGAGUUAUUCCAAGAUGAAAAGAGCAGGCUAUCUCUGGAAUAAAGGAUGUGGCCUGCAAGGACUCUCUGCGAGACAGCCCUCCCUUGCCUAUGUUGGACUGAAAAGGUCCAAGUUUGAUGUGUACCAAGCUGUACAUCCAGCCCCCCUGCCCCUAGAUCUGGUGUCACAGAACUGAUCUUGGUUUUCAUCACUUGGUGCUUUUAACUACCGUAUUUUUCGCUCCAUAAGACGCACUUUUUUCCUCCUAAAAAGUAAGGGGAAAUGUGUGUGCGUCUUAAGGAGCGAAUGGCGCUGUGCAGCUCUCCCUCUCUGCGCAGCGCCUCUUCAGCGAAGCGGGAGGAGAAAUGGAAGGGGCUCCGUUUCUCCUCCCGCUUCGCUGGAGAGGUGCUGUGCAGAGAGGGAGAGCUGCGCAGCGCCUCUUCAGGGCUGAAGAGGCGCUGCGCAGAGAGGGCCACCUUAACCUCACUGGGUUGUUGUGAGGUUGUUGUGUGAUAGCCCUUGUUUAGCCCCCUGAGAAACUUGACAAACAGACAGGAGAACAUUAUUCUUGUUUUCCCUCUUCAGUCAGUCUUAGAUUCCAUCACUGCCCAAACCAUAUUCCUCUGUCUCUCCAAACGGCCAGAUGAUCCCAUUUUUUUUCUGGGGCUUUCUGUGAGAGAAUGAAAUCCAAGCACUAAUGCCUAUUAAAAUGCUUCUACUGUUCACUUGCAAAAUCAAGGUUUUGAAAAGAGGCUCUACAGAAAUAAAAGAUUCGGAAUAAUUUUUUUUCUUGUUUUCCUCCUCUAAAAACUAUGUGCGUCUUAUGGUCGGGCGCGUCUUAUAGAGCAAAAAAUACGGUAUAUCUGUCCGGCUCCUAGAAGAGGAUUUUGUGCAUGAACACCAUUUAUAGGGUUGGGUUGUUAUUAUUUAAAACACACACACACACACACACACACACACACACACCAAUUUUUAAAUACAAGAUAAUAUUUUUCUCGAUACCUAAGAAGUGCCCCAAAUAUGCAGAAUCCCUUCCUCUGUAUAUUGAUGGAUGGUCCUGUUUCACUGUCUUGCUCGCCCCCACAUUGCCACCACGUUUGAUAUCUAACUGGAGAGCCCACAAUGAACUAUUCCACCUGUAUCCUCCACAGUGUAGAAUCAUAGAAUUGUAGCAUUGGGAGGGGCCACGAGGGUCAUCUAGUCCAACCCUCUGCAACGCAGGAAUCUUUCAUCCAAUGUAGGGCUCAAACCUAUGACUCUGGGAGGCUCAUGCUUCACCGACUGAGCUGUCUAAUUUGGCUAAAUGUAGCUUGACAGCAUUCCUGCUCUGGGGUCUAAAUAGUGAAAUCUGUCAAUUUCAGUUUCUAUUUUUUGCAGUAUUAAAUCUGAUUCCCCACAUUUGCACACCAGCUUGCUAUGAUGGUUUUUCCAAAGUCCUCGUGAAAAUUCUAAUGUGAAUUUCUCCCGAGUAUAUGAAUUUCUGUAUGCAGUAUUUUUUUCCUAACGUGCACAUUUUUUUGCAAAGCAGCUUUCUCUACUAUGAUGCAUUCUGUAUGUAGUUCUCACGAAUAUAUUUACCUGAGGAUAUUUUAUUUGGCACUGUAAAAUUCUUCUUUUUUUGCCAUUCAUCUUUAUUGGUUUCUUUCGACAAACAUUCAUGAAAUCACGUUGUAACAUCUCAAUUCUCCUGUAACUAAACAUGUGAUUCUAAAACAUAAUAAAGAAAACGAAAUAUAUACUUAUUCAUUUGAUUCAUUUGUACUCCAUUUACAGUUGACUUCCCUCCCCUUCUUACUUGGGUCCUCAAUUUUACUUAGUUAAAUGCCCCUUAUAACACAUCUACCGUAUUUUUCGCUCUAUAAGACGCACCAGACCACAAGACGCACCUAGUUUUUGGAGGAGGAAAACAAGAAAAAAAAUAUUCUGAAUCUCAGAAGCCAGAACAGCAAGAGGGAUCACUGCGCAGUGAAAGCAGCAAUCCCUCUUGCUGUUCUGGCUUCUGUGAUAGCUGCGCAGCCUGCAUUCGCUCCAUAAGACACACACACAUUUCCUCUUACCUUUUAGGAGGGAAAAAGUGAGUCUUAUAGAGCAAAAAAUACGGUAUAUAUUUGGUAACCUAUUUUCCCACUAUAUUUUAAUAUUUUUUUCUUACAAGAGUUAUUCUAAACCAGUCAAAAAAUUUACUUCUCCGUAAUGAUCUUUCAGAUAUUGUUUAAAUAUAUUCCAAUCAUUUUUGAAUUUUUGUUUUGAUUGAUCUCUUAUUUGCCCUGUCAGAUAAGACACUAAAAUUCAGAGGCACGCACAUUUUGAAGGAUGGCAGUGUUUUGGUUCACAUACUGUUUUGGAAACUGGAAGUUAGCCUUUCAUGCAAACUGAGCUGAAUUUGUCACCCAUCUCUAUUCCCAGAUAUUUCUUUUUUUCCUACAUACCUAUGGGUUCCUUAGGGACGUGGGUGGCGCUGUGGGUUAAACCACAGAGCCUAGCACUUGCCGAUCAGAAGGUCGGCAGUUCGAAUCCCCAUGACGGGGUGAGCGCCCGUUGCUCGGUCCCUGCUCCUGCCAACCUAGCAGUUCGAAAGCAUGUCAAAGUGCAAGUACAGUGGUACCUCGGGUUAAGUAUUUAAUUCAUUCCCGAGGUCCGUUCUUAACCUGAAACUGUUCUUAACCUGAAGCAACACUUUAGCUAAUGGGGCCUCCUGCUGCCACUGCGCCGCCGAAGCACGAUUUCUGUUCUCAUCCUGAAGCAAAGUUCUUAACCUGAAGCACUAUUUCUGGGUUAGUAGAGUCUGUAACCUGAAGCGUAUGUAACCCUGGGUAGGCAGAUUCACCCCAUGUUGCUAUCCUCCUGGUUAGAAUGGAUUGGAACCAUGAACUAUAUUAUUAGAGGGAAUAGUAUCUUUUAAAACAAGACCUGGGCACUCGUCUGUGGCUCUUUGUUCUUUUCAAUGUUUCCCUUCUAAUGCUAAACUUAGCUCAUGGACUUUCCCCUUAUUUUCCUCUACUCCAGCUAAUGCGAGCCAUCAUCAAGAUAAAGUAAAGUAAUGUUGUUUCUCACUUACAUUGGCCAAUAAGAAGUGCCUCUUCGGUUUACAAUUAGCAGCCGUGGCUAUGAAAUUCAGCGCUGCUCCAGGGGUUAAACCCACCCGCUCCAUGAACAUUUUGCAUAAUUCCAGUGCCGUCCAUAAGGCUGCGAACAGAAAACAGCAGAUGCUUAGGGAAGCAGAGAUUUCCAUGCCAUCCCGGCUUGGUCAGUCGCAUUCCUUUUCAGCUAUUGUUCAAAUUUUGCCGAAAUUUUUUUGGAAGCGAAACUUAAGUCAGGUUUGGGGUGUGCAUCUGUGAACAGAUUUGAAAGAAUAUAUGAACCAGAAUGUGAUGUUCAAAGAUGUCCCUCUUCUGUUUUCUGCACUUUUUAUUCAUGCCGCUUGCACAUUAUUCCCUACUCAGAAUAAUUCCAUCUAGGAAUUUUAUAAUUGCAUCACUGUCCUAGGGAAAACAUACUGCAUUACUGAUACUAUUGCUAUAAAGUGGGGGCUUUAUAACUUAUGAAAAAGCUUGGUAGUCUUGAUGAGCCGUGGGGAAUAAAACCCUGUACAACAACGCCAUACAAAGCAAACAACAUUCACGCUACCUCUCUUUCAAAUUGGAACCAGUGAAGGAGGUGAAGGUCCUGUGUGAGUGUCUGGAGGCGGUUGGAGGAUGGAUGGUGGCUAACAGAUUGAGGUUGAAUCCUGACAAGACAGAAGUACUGUUUUGGGGGGACAGGAGGCAGGCGGGUGUGGAGGACUCCCUGGUCCUGAAUGGGGUAACUGUGCCCCUGAAGGACCAGGUGCGCAGUCUGGGAGUCAUUCUGGACUCACCGCUGUCCAUGGAGGCGCAGGUCAUUUCUGUGUCCUGGGCAGCUGUUUACCAGCUCCAUCUGAGGCUGUUGGCAGGCUGAGACCCUACCUGCCAACAGACUGUCUCACCAGUCUAGUUCUCUCUCGCUUGGACUACUGCUCUAGUUAUCUCUCGCUUGGACUACUGCAAUGCACUCUAUGUGGGGCUACCUUUGAAGGUGACCCGGAAACUACAACUAAUCCAGAAUGUGGCAGCUAGACUGGUGACUGGGAGCGGCAGCCGAGACCAUAUAACACUGGUCUUGAAAGACCUACACUGGCUCCCAGUACGUUUCCGAGCACAAGUGGAAAGUGUUGGUGCUGACCUUUAAAGCCCUAAAUGGCCUCGGUCCAGUAUACCUGAAGGAGCGUCUCCACCCCCAUCGUUCAGCCCGGACACUGAGAUCCAGCGCCGAGGGCCUUCUGACGGUUCCCUCGCUGCAAGAAGCCAAGUUACAGGGAACCAGGCAGAGGGCUUCUCGGUAGUGGCACCCCCCCUGUGGAACACCCUCCCAUCAGAUGUCAAAGAGAAAAAUAAUCAACAAACUUUUAGAAGACAUCUGAAGGCAGCCCUGUUUAGGAAAGCUUUUAAUGUUUAAUAGGUUAUUGUAUUUUAGUGUUUUGUUGGAAGUUGCCCAGAGUGGCUGGGGAAACCCAGCCAGAUGGGCGGGGUAUAAAUAAUAAAUUAUUAUCAUCAUCAUCAUCUGUCCACAUGACUUAAACAUUAUUUUCCCCUCCAGGCAAUUCAGACUUAUGAUGAUGUCCUGUGAAAGUUCUACGCCAGUCAACCUCAUCUGCUUGCAAUACAUUUUCUUGGAAAAGUCAGAUUGAAGCAGCCUUUGAGGAUGGGGAGAAGCAGGCUUUUCAUAGCUUUCAUUCUGCAAAGCAAGCAGAAACAGACAGGGAAAUGAGCGCAGAUAAGGAGACUAGUGAGAAGAUAUUGAGAAAUAUGUUCACACACCAUAAAUGACCUCCCAGAGAAACCUUUGGCAUGAUCUCUCCAGCCCAACAGGUAAAGUCAUUUCCUCUGGAUGGCCACUGUUCGAUGCAGAAUCAGAUAUGUGUAUGCUCACUGAAAUCAAUGGGAUUAAGGGAAUCUAAAUGCAUUGGCCAGUAGCCCAAAUGCUAAUAAUAAAUAAUAAUAAUAAUAAUUGUUCCCUGUGGGUUGCAUUGCCCCUAAGUUUAUAAACAGUCCUUUGUUAGGAAUGCAGUAAAUUACACCUGGAAAUCUUAACUGUUAAUACAUGUCGUGUUUUAUUUUAGUAAACACAUAUCUGUAUCCAUUAUGACAUAUGUGUUUCAUUUUAGUAAAUAAAAGAUACAUCAAUGUUUCUACUAGAAGAACAUCUGAAAUCAGGAUUCAAUAGUGUACUACACUGUGUAGAAGAAACAUUCGUUCUUCAUUUCAGAAUGUACUCAAAACACAUUCCAGCAACUAUCCAUUUGCUCAGUCACUGGUGACUAUUUCAUGAAUUGAUUUUCUUCUUAAUAGGUUUUCUGUUUCCUGUAUUAUAACAAAUGUUUAUUUGUCCUUGCUUCAGCUUAAAUUACUUACAAAGUGACUAUAAUAAAUGAUGAUGCCUUUUAACUCAUUAUUAAUGGGCUGGAACAAGAAAUGUCCAGCAUUUUGUGAAACAUAAAGAAGUCAAACCACAAAGAAACUGUGGUUGCAAUGUUGGCAAAACCCGACAUGUGAAUGCAAGGUUGCCCAGAGAAUUCUACUGAAUUUGAAAGGUGGGAGCAAUAAUAGGAUUAGUUUAAAGGAUGCUGUAGAACCUUACAUUUGUCCCUAUUAAAAUUCACUUUGUUAGCUUGGGCCCAGUUCUCCAGUCUGUUAAGGUCAUCUUGAAUCCCAAUUCUGUCUUCAGCGUCAUUGGCUACCCCUCCCAGUCUGGCGUCAUCUGCACAUUUGAUGAGUAUCCCCUCAUUUCUUUCGUCCAAGUUGUUUAUAUAGAUGUUGAACAGGCCUACCCUACCAAUGACCUCCACCCACUUUCCAACUUUGCAAAUACAGAGCCUAUGCAAGUACAAACUAGAUACAACCCGUAGACUCUGUAUUGGCAAUCAGGAACCCUGUAAAAAAAGUAAGGUUGCUGAUCAUGCAGAGGCUACGUGCGUAGAAGUUGGGUUGUGGGUCUGGCACAGAUUCGUCUUCCAAGACUAGUCUGUCAGAGACACAACCCAACUCUCACACACAACCGCUGGGUGGAAACGUAAAGAUUUACAAGGAAAGUAAAGAGAAAGGAGCUAAAAACCCUCUUCAAUAGUAAAAUAAACUUGUCUUCUUGAUGGUUUUAUAAUGCAAACAUAUUCUAAUCUAAACUCGAACCAAAAUUGCAGCCUUCGAGUGUUUAUUACAUUCCAUCAGGUUAUAAAAUGAACUAAAAUCCCCGCAAGACAAUGGGAUGGGCCUGUUUUGUUACUACCGUUGUCUGGAAAUUUCCAUGGCGAGAGAGCAGACACUGGAAUGUCAAGGCUUCAUCAUAUGGCUGCAAAAGGCUCUUCUAUUACUGUGUCCCACCCACAUAUGCCCCUCAUAUUUCUAAGGAACUGGGCCAGAUUUGCAGGUCAUACCGAGGGCAGAAGAUGAAUAGCAGUGUAGACGGGAACACAGCAAUUAUUAACCCUGAAUCUAGGUGUGUGGUUGGGCAGCUUUGGCACACAUUGCAGGGGCAUGGAAGCUCUCCACAGCAUUUGAAGUUGAGAGUAAAUCGCUGGUGGAGAAGACAAGCAGGCCCAUGGUUCUCCUCACAUGUUUGCCACUAAGCCAAGGUGCGGUAAUGCAGGAGUGAAGAACCUCUGGCCCAACAACAACAACAGCAGCAGCAGCAACAAUUUGGCCUGCCCUGCUGCUUCUUCUUUUUGGUGAUCACUCAUAGCCGAGUAAGGUUGUCUUCCAUGAACACGGUCUUAACAGUGAGUUGGUAAAUGAUUGUGGAGGCCAAUUCUGGCUCCACACGUCCUUCCAAAGUGGGGACAUAGGUUUCUGGGUAGGAGUUGAUCAUGGUGAGGGUUUUCCAAGUGUGCCUUUCUCUUAGCACGUUUCUCCCUUUUGUCCUGAGUUUGAGUGUCUCAUAAGCCCAUGGCACCUUUGGUAAAGGCUGUUCUCCAACUGGAGCGCUUGCAGGCCAGUGUUUCCCAGUUGUCAGUGUUUAUACUACAUUUUUAAAGAUUUGCCUUGAGAGAGUCUUUAAACCUCUUUUGUUGACCGCCCGCAUGACACUUUCCAUUUUUAAGUUCGGAAUAGCGUGUUGCUUAGGAAGACGAUAGGCAUUCGCACAACAUGACCAGUCCAACAAAGUUGAUGUUGAAGAAUCAUUGCUUUGACAUCAUUGCCUGCCCUGCUAACCUGCUGCCUUAAUGUGCAUUAGCAAGACAUAGUCUCCAAUUGCCACAAAAAUGCCAGGACCUUCACAAAAACCCUUCAGCCACCACUGCUUGUCUCUUUGUCACGCAAUGUCCCGGAUUCCCAAUUGCAAGCUUCUUUAAAGGUAAAGGACCCCUGACCAUUAGAUCUAGUCGUGACCGACUCUGGGGUUGCGGCGCUCAUCUCACUUUAUUGGCCAAGGAAGCCGGCGUACAGCUUCCAGGUCAUGUGGCCAGCAUGACUAAGCCGCUUUUGGCAAACCAGAGCAGUGCACGGAAACGCUGUUUACCUUCCCGCCGGAGUGGUACCUAUUUAUCUACUUGCACUUUGACGUGCUUUUGAACUGCUAGGUUGGCAGGAGCAGGGACCGAGCAACGGGAGCUCACCCCGUCGCGGGGAUUCAAACCACCGACCUUCUGACUGGCAAGUCCUAGGCUCUGUGGUUUAACCCAUGCGCCACCCGCGUCCCAUCCUUAAAGGGGCUAUGGGUAAAAUUGCAGCUAGCUUGCAAGAGUCUGUAAAAGUGAGGGGAAACGUUCCUGCAUGAUACAGGAAAAGCGUUAUCCUCUGCCUGCUUUACGUGCCCAGAAGCAACAUGAUCGGACAUGGGGAGGGAGAGUCCAUACUUGAUGGCAUUGAAGCCUGUAAGGGACAAAAAAGGAAAAGAAAAGAAAAGAAAGAAAAGAAAAGAAAAGAAAAGAAAAGGCAGUUCUGGCCAACUUUAUGGGUGGAGGGGGCAAAAUGCUUCCUGUGACAGUACCCCUGAGAGAAGUGAACCCAAAAAGUUGUGUUUGAACAGUACAACUUGUACCACAUUGAAAAGCAGGGGCUGCAUCUGCUGUAGCUUGACCAGAAGUGGUUUUAGGAUAACAUGACUGGUUUGGCCACACUGGGUGCUGUGCUACUGGGGGGGCGGGGGGCACAACAAUGCUGAGGAAUGGGACAUGAGAGGCAGGUGGGCACCAAAUUUUAGUGUCAUACAGGGCACCACUGAAACCUGAGAGCCCAAAGUCUGCAACUGGCUUUUUACAAGAUACAAAAAUACGUGAUGGGAAUUUAGAAUUUAGCAUAUGUGCACAAGGAAUGGCACUUGUUUCUCUGAAUAACUCCAUCUCUGCCUUUGCCUUCUGUUUUUAUCUAUUACCCUGGCACCGAAAAGCUGCAUUUAUUACAUGUGUAAUGAAUAUGCAAGGAAGUAACACAUCAAAAGAGUGGUUUUCUGAAGACUAUCCAAUUGCCCUUGCGAAGAAACAGCCAUUUGUUUCACACUUGGAAACCCAAC
rnacentral:lncRNA from 1 species